GCGAAGGUGGCGGAAUUGGUAGACGCGCUAGCUUCAGGUGUUAGUGUUCUUACGGACGUGGGGGUUCAAGUCACCCCCCUCGCACCA
rnacentral:tRNA from 1 species